GGGAAACUAAAGAAAACGGAGAAAAACAAAAUACAAACCGGAAUGAAAACAAAACGCUGGGAAACCCUGAAAAUGAAAGGCUUUUUGCAAAAGUAAACUUGUCUUUUGUGAAGUGGAACCUUUGUUAAACUAAAUGGACGAAAUUUUCUUUCUCAUUAUGCUAUUUUUGAGUAGCAUGUACACCAGUCUGAUGGGACUUUUUCAUCUUCCGUCUAAUUUUGAGAGCUGCAGCCAAACGUUAAGAAAUCAGCUUGCUGUGUGAAACUGAGUACAGGUUCAUGGUUACUGUGAAGAGCUGUUUGUGUUUCAUCAGAACUUUAUAUACAGCUUGUACAGUUUUUAAGAUGUUUUAUUGACAUGUUGUAUUUUAAGUAAAUACUUCUGAAGUGAAAUAAAGAAAAAGAAUGUUA